rnacentral:rRNA from 1 species
CAACUUUCAGCAACGGAUCUCUUGGCUCUCGCAUCGAUGAAGAACGCAGCGAAAUGCGAUAAGUAAUGUGAAUUGCAGAAUUCAGUGAAUCAUCGAAUCUUUGAACGCACCUUGCGCUCCUUGGUAUUCCGAGGAGCAUGCCUGUUUGAGUGUCAUA